AACGCUGGCGGCAAGGCUUAAUCAUGCAAGUCGAACGGUAACAUGUCGGAGCAAUCUGAUGAUGACGAGUGGCGCACGGGUGCGUAACGCGUAUGCAACCUACCCAAUAACCGGAACAUAACGUUGAGAAAUCGGCGCUAAUAUUCCAUGUGUAUAUUUUGUGGCAUCAUAGAAUAUAUAAAGAUUAAUUGGUUAUGGAUGGGCAUGCGUAUCAUUAGGCUAGUUGGUGGGGUAACGGCCUACCAAGGCUGCGAUGAUUAGGGGUUCUGAGAGGAUAACCCCCCACACUGGAACUGAGACACGGUCCAGACUCCUACGGGAGGCAGCAGUAGGGAAUAUUGGGCAAUGGAGGCAACUCUGACCCAGCCAUGCCGCGUGAAGGAAGACGGUCCUAUGGAUUGUAAACUUCUUUUAUCAUAGAGUAACCGCAGGGACGUGUCCCUGCCUGCAAGUAUAUGAUGAAUAAGCAUCGGCUAACUCCGUG
rnacentral:rRNA from 1 species